rnacentral:rRNA from 1 species
CUACGGGUUGCUGCAGGCGAGAAAACUUUGCAAUGUGCGAAAGCACGACAAGGUUAAUCCGAGUGGUUUGUGCUAAACGAACCUUUUGACAGUCCUAGAAACACUGUUGAAUAAGGGGUGGGCAAGUUCUGGUGUCAGCCGCCGCGGUAAAACCAGCACCUCAAGUGGUCAGGAUGAUUAUUGGGCCUAAAGCAUCCGUAGCCGGCUCUGUAAGUUUUCGGUUAAAUCUGUACGCUCAACGUACAGGCUGCCGGGGAUACUGCAGAGCUAGGGAGUGGGAGAGGUAGACGGUACUCGGUAGGAAGGGGUAAAAUCCUUUGAUCUAUUGAUGACCACCUGUGGCGAAGGCGGUCUACCAGAACACGUCCGACGGUGAGGGAUGAAAGCUGGGGGAGCAAACGGGAUUAGAUACCCCUGUAGUC